rnacentral:rRNA from 1 species
CCUACGGGAGGCAGCAGUGGGGAAUAUUGCGCAAUGGGCGAAAGCCUGACGCAGCGACGCCGCGUGAGGGAUGAAGGUCUUCGGAUCGUAAACCUCUGUCAGCAGGGAAGAACGGUCACUGUGCUAAUCAGCAGUGAAUUGACGGUACCUGCAAAGGAAGCACCGGCUAACUCCGUGCCAGCAGCCGCGGUAAUACGGAGGGUGCGAGCGUUAAUCGGAAUUACUGGGCGUAAAGCGCUCGUAGGCGGUAUGUCAAGUCAAGGGUGAAAUCCCCGCGCUCAACGUGGGAACUGCCUUUGAAACUGGCAGACUGGAGUGUGUGAGAGGAUAGUGGAAUUCCAGGUGUAGGAGUGAAAUCCGUAGAUAUCUGGAGGAACAUCGGUGGCGAAGGCGACUAUCUGGCACAUAACUGACGCUGAGGAGCGAAAGCGUGGGUAGCAAACAGGAUUAGAUACCCGGGUAGUC